rnacentral:tRNA from 1 species
GCCGAGGUGGUGAAAUUGGUAGACACGCUGGCCUUAGGAGCCAGUGGGGCAACCUGUGGGAGUUCGAGUCUCCCCCUCGGCACCA